ensembl:lncRNA
AAGGAAAUCUCGCGAGAUUUGACAGAUUUGGGACAGUAUUGGUGAAUCAUGAACGAGAUUUCAUGACCGGUGUAUUAUGAUGCUGCUGCUGUGUGAAGAUAAAUAGAUGGAUAGAUAUUUUAUUGAGCUUGACGAACGUUUUUAGAUGUUUUUUCUUUUAGUACACAGUAUAAUAGAUUUAUAUAAGUAUUUUAUUCAACCUGAGUAAUAAUGUUUUUUUUUUCUUCAGUUAAUGCUAAAGAUUAAAAACUGUAUAUAACAACAUAACAGCACGUGUCUAGCAGUAUGAGGUCAUUUUUUUUUCCCGCAGAGGUGACGUGACUCUUUUCUUGUAUAUAUAAACCUACAUAGGCUACCUAGUUGAAUCACCAUCCUCGACCCACGAAUUCUCAUGUGAUGUAAUCCCAAGCUGUCAUCGUCUGUACACACACUUUUUCGAGGACGCGUGUGACUUGCACAGCCGUACGUUUUGUCGGCUCGGGGUGACGGUAAAGCUGGUCCGUGUCGUUUUCUUUCUUCCUCUCUCUCUCUCCCUCUCCUGUUGUUGUUGUUGUUUACGUUCUCGGCGUUUAAAAAAAAAACGUUGGAUCGUUUAGUUUAUCUUUGCAUGUUCUUAUCGAGGACUUCGUUCAUUAGAGCUUCAGGACACACAGACACACACAACAAACACCUCCCGCCCCCCUUCCUCCCUUCAACUCGCUCAAGUUUGCAUGUGUUCAAGCUGCACAUUUGCCUUUGACGUGAAUGUAUUUGACUAGCAUUAAAAGCAAUAUGGCUGCUUCUCAGCGUGUGAAAGGGAAGCCUCUGGUUGGGGGUUGUUUUUUUUUGGGUGUGUGGGGGGGUAAUCGAUAUGCAUUUCGAGGUUCCUAUACAUGCCAGGGGUCCUCUCGCCUGUUGACUGAUGCCUGCCUGAGAUAAACAGGAAGUGGCAAAGCAGCUGUGCAAAUGCAUCAAAAAGCCACCUGUCUGCAAACCGCCAUUGUGGAGCGCAAAGGCCUUUAGGGCUCUUCUCUCUCUCUCUGUCUCUGUGUGUGUGUCGCUUUCCCUCGCUUUUCUGCCUUUUCACUCCCGGCAAGAGAGGGGGAAGGGUCGGGUGUUUCCUCACGCUUCCAAAUUCCAGCGUCAUUAACAUUGUCGCCUAGAAAUUUUCCUCUUUGCUGUUGUUCCGCCGUUAGUCACCACGAGAUCGACAAGUGCAUCAGAUAACACAAGACUAGACCAUAAGCAUCGAAGCCGAGCCGGAACUUCCUCGGGUCGUCUUUUGAACUUUCUCACGCGGCAACAUUAUCAUCGCCCCGAUGAAAAAACACACACAUUCCAUUGAUCCUGCUCUGUGAGUGUAUAUAUAUAUAUACAUAUAUUUGUAAAUAUAUAUAUAUAUCUAUUUGUGUGCCAUAGUGCCCUCUGGGGGUCGGUGUAGUCUCGGCCACCCAGGAAAGACAGACCACCACACACACACACACACACACACUCACAACAGAGCAUCAGUUACACUUUGUACAAUCACAAAUUAGCCUUGAAAGCCGACUCUGGAGGCAGCUCUGAUUUGCCUACCCUCCCUCUGCUUCUACCAAUAUGCAAAUGGACGGCACGGAAGAGCUUACCCACAGUCUCAGACAGGUCUGAACAUGCACCAGCAUUCAGAGGCCAGCACCUGCGAACAACCGCCGUACACAUGUGACGGUUUUCAGGCUUUACGUCCAGGCACAGCGGAAGUACAUCGUGUUCUUCUCGACUCCACCGAACCAGGAACUGUUUCGGGAAGGAUCUCGUCGUGUCGUCAUAUUAAAUGUCGUUAAAUCUCAAUCAAGCUCCAAUAAGCUAAUAAGUCACUGUGCAUAAGCAGUGUGAAUCAGUCGGGUCACAGUUCCUGAACCGCGGCCCAGAAAGCGGUUUCUUUUCACAGCACUUUUAGUGUGUUUACGUCCUCGGGAGGUUUAGGAAUUUGCACGAUGUUUACUAGAUACUUGUCAUUUCCUACUCAGGUACAUCCCGGACUGUUUCUAGGCAUUGUGUACAAGCGAGUGUGGUGUGUGUGUGUGUGUGUUUAGACCGAACGCUCAGGAGCGGACCAGGGCCUGAAUGAGGGCUUUGAGAACGCCAGCGAGAGCGUUUGACAGUUGCUCAGCCUAAUCCCUCUGGAGCUGAUAAGCAGUGGCUAAACAAACGUAGCGCGAGCAACACUGGAGUCGGAGAUAAGAGACACGCACAACGCCCCCUCCUUCCUCCAACAACCACCCCCCACCCCUCCCACACACACACACACACACACACGCAUGCAGUGCAACACACUCUCUCUUAUCGCUCUGUAGUUCGCAGGAACUUGGCCGAGUUCACAAAGCUUUAGAAAGGAAGCGCGAUUGUCGUCGUGGACGGCUUCUCGCGAGUUCUAGCGGGAUGCCGAGGACGUGUGAGAACCUGACGCAGCUCCAGUUUAAAGUCUGGUGUAUACAUUACAGCCAAUUCAGCAGGAACGGUGGCGCUUUAAUGCUCGCUGUGUCCUGGCUCUCUCUCUCUCACACACACACACACACACAUGCAUUACUUUUCUGCAUUUUGUACGUUGUCAGCUCAAGCAGCUUGAUUUACAUACAUUACACCCUGAUGUAAACACAUCUGCGUGCCUGUUACAGCAGUGACACGGCAGUUUCUACUAGAUUUUCCUGUUCGAAUACCGAGAAAACGCUCUCCUCGUGACACGUCUUAAAGGAGGAAGUGAAUUCUGAGGACCACUCCGAGAGAGAUCUGCGUUUGUUUGUUUGUUUGUUUGUUUGUUUGUUUUUUCACACAAGGCGCGUUUUUCCCGGGGGCGGGGCGAUACGACAGAAAUAUCGUAUCGCGAUUUUCGAAAGUGAUUCCUACGAUAUCACAAUGUAGAGUUGAGGUCGUAAGUUUGCAUACCCCUUUGCAGGACCUGCAAAAUUACCAUAGUUCAAAAUAAAAAAAAAAUGCGGGUUGUUUAUUUCUUUAUUUAUUUAGUACGGCCCUGAAUACGCUGUUUCACCAUAUGAUGUUUACGUCUAGUCCACAAGACACAUUUUAUGGCAUUUCGGCUUUCAUUCGAUGUCAUUUAUACAUCUGAGCAGCCGAGGGUUAAGGGUCUUGUUCAAGGGCCCAACAGUGGUAUCUUGGCGGUGCUGGGGUUUGAAGUCACGAUCAGUGCUUAACCAGUGAGCUACCACUUUUCCAGAACUUACCCCCCCAAGAGUCUUUUGAACGAAAGCUUGUUGUUUAUCACAGUGCACCACACAGAGAUAAACAACAACUGCCCACUGUUCUUCAGAAAAAUCCUCCCGGUCCUGCGCGUUCGUCGCAUUUGCCAGCACUCUCUGCACACCCGAGCCCUUUCCAUCAGCGACCGUACGAUGUCCAGAUCCGUCUUUUCACACCGAGGACGACCGAGGGACUCGUACGCGACUGUUAACGAGAGGUGCAAACGUUCUCCGGUGCUCAAGAAGGCAGCACAGGAUACAUCAAGAGCCGGGGGGGGGGGGGGGUGUAAACUUUUGAACAGGACGUUCGUUGUAAACUGUUAUCUUUUCAGAUGUCGUCUCGGGUGCGAUGGUGGAUCGUCCGAGACGCGAGGAGAUGUCGGGACGUGAUUUCGUCGCAGCGGUACAGUGCGCCCUCGAGGCAGGAAGUGUGCGCAGGAAACUCGCAUCUGCUUACGCAACGGAUCGGAUUCCGAUCUCGUGUGGGCGGUUCUUUAAAACCGAGCAAUACAGCCACCUUGUUAGCGCAAAAAAAAAACGGAAAGGCUUCCCAACAAACUGCCCCGUGAGGGGGUCUGAGAGCCCACACACACACACACACACACACACACUAUUUCAUUAUUCAGCAAUCGCACCCUGAUCUUUUUAAGGUCAGGAGAAAGCCUUCAUUAAAGUGCCAUGACCAGAUGCCAGAUCAGCUGAAUGUCAUAUGGCGCGCGUGCGUGCGUGUGCGUGUGUGUGUGUGUGUGUGUGUGCGAUGUUGUGCACAGCAAAAGUGUGACUGCCUCCUUGUUCUCCCUGUUUGUUUGGAUGCGGAUUAGUCCGGAAUAGCUGGAAUACCUUUCAUUCACACAUUCCUUGGAAUGUGUGUGCGGAAAAUCCGCCGUCAUCUCGAGAAAAAGGUUUGAUAUGAUUUGGUUUGGUUUGAUCUCUGCGUCUGCAAAAUCAUGGAAUUCCCGAAGGGACCGUUUGAGGUUAAGAACAGUGGGUCGG